ensembl:lncRNA
GUGAAUUCCAAGCCAGAUAUGUGGAGGAGCACCAGCUCGGAGAAGGAGGCUGCGGAGCAGUGUUUGCUGGCUACCGGAUAGAAGAUCGUUUCCAGUAAGUGUUCAGAUGAUGGUAGUAAGACAGGCAGUAACGCAGAUAAUGGAUAAUAUCGUAAACUGAGACGUCUGCUGUGUUUCCACCUUUCAUUAUGUCAUACUGAGGAAAUGCUCACCAAUGCUCUGUGUCUUCUAGGUUGCCAUCAAACACAUUCCCAAAAAUAAAGUCUACUGCAAAGUGGCGGUAAGCGUCCAACACUUGAAUCAGUUUUACAUUACUGGAUUGAAUGCGGCGUUCCUCAUCAUCCACUUUGUUGUAAUAUUUCAGGAUGAAAGCGGGAAGAAGCUCUCAGUGGAAGUGGCCAUUAUGGUUAAACUUGCAGGUGAAGCAGAAGGGUCAGUGGGAAUAUCUGCACCUGUGUCCUUGCUGGAGUGGUUCGACCUUGGCAAAGAGCUGAUCCUGGUGCUGGAGAGACCUGUCCCGCUGUGGACCUGCAAAAAUACAAAGCAGAAAAUGGAAGAACUUUAACAGAGGACAAGGCCAAGGUAGGUUGACUGGAAGAACCUUAGACUGUACAGCAUUCAAUCAAGGCAGAAAAGCAUGAACUCAUUAUUGUUUUUCAUCUUUUCCAGGUCAUUCUGAAGCAACUUGAUGCUGUAAAGGAACUUGAGGAUAAACACAUCUUUCAUCGGGACAUCAAGGGACAAAACAUUCUGAUUGAGACCGGCUCAGAUGUGCCUCGUGUUCGCAUCAUUGACUUUGGACUGAGCUGCUUUGUUAAACAGCGAUCUCUGUAUCGCAUCUUCUAUGGCACUCCUCUUCACAUCCCUCCCGAGUGGUACAUUAGGAGCUGCUACAGGUGUGGACCCACCACGGUGUGGCAAAUGGGAGUGGUGUUGUAUGAAGCGCUCAUGCACGAUACUUUAGUACCGCGAGGUUCCUCACAAAGAAACUGAGCAUCAAAAAGCGUCUGUCCACAGGUAAGAAAACUUCACACUUCCAGAUUCACUGAUGCCUUGGAUCACUAGAACUAUCAUCUUCAUCUUUUGAUCUUUUCUUUCUUUCAAGAAUGCCGGAAUUUCUUGGACGCAUGUUUAGCUAUAGUCCCGGAGAAGCGCCCAACACUGGAGGAGCUCCAGCUUCACCCCUGGCUAAGAUAACACACACAAACACACAAUUCACACCUUAUCAUAUAAGUAUGAUACAUUGUAGUAAUUCCUUUCUUUUUUCUGUUGGACAGGAAUAGAUAGAAUGGGUCAAUCUUAAAAAAUAAAUAAAUAAAAAUUUAGCUUUUUUGGAGUUCUUGUAACCCCCCAGCCAUCCCAGGAAAGGGAUCUCUCUUUGAAUGGGCUUUCCCGAGGUUUCUUCCCAUCGAUCUGGCCCCCUGGGAGUUUUUCCUCGUCUUCAUAGAGAGCUUGGGCUGGGUCAGGAGCUCCAUCAAAACGUCUUUAUUUGAUGACUUUAAAAUAAAGAUGUGUUUUACUUAAAGUAAAAUUUGAUCAAAAUAAAACUUGUUAAUUCAUCUUUGCUGAGGAUUCUCCUUCAUUACUAUUUUGUUUUGUUUUUUUGUUUUGUUUGUUUUACCCAUGGUGCAUUUUGACAAAUAAGAAACUGAAUCAGGUUAAAGUGUGCACAAAGACAGUCACACUGCAAAUGAUCUGAAGACUUGCAUCUGUUGCUCUAACCCCCAACUAGUUUAGACAGAUUUCCUGGUUCUACCAGAGGUUUUUCCUUCAAGAAGGGAGUUUUUCCUUCCCACUGUUGCUGAGUGUUUGCUCAUAGUGGGUUGUAAAAGCAUAAAAGUUAAUAAGAGGCAUUCAUAGCAGAGUUAUCACAGCGGGAACUAUAUAGCUUAAAUGUACAAUUUCUACAGGACGAAUUAUAACUUCAUUAUGUAAAAGCUCCUGUGGAUAAUUCUCCUAUUUGUAACUUUACACAAGAGAAAGUUU